rnacentral:rRNA from 1 species
AAACCGUUCAGGGGUAAACCUGAGAAACCCGAAAGUUCGAAUGGGGAGAUUCAUCGUCAGCGGCGUUGGCUUCACGAUGGUUUAGGCGAUGGUCGGGUGUGCACACCUUCGCGGUGUCUCGCUUACCACGCCGCCGUCGCGUUCAAUGUCUGACGUCGUCGUCGUGCACUUCUCCUCUAGUAGGACGUCGCGACCCGUUGGGUGUCGGUCUACGGCCCGGGUGGGUGCCUGUCUCGUCGUUUCGGCGCACGCGGCAGACCCCCGGUCGCCCGACCGGCUGCUCGGCGGUACUCCGAAGGUAUCGGGCCGCAAACCUAGAACUGCGUUCAGGCCCGUCGCAAGCUCGGUCAGCGAUAACCGGUGGUACGGACUCUGUGCCGUCCCCGGACCUGGCCAGCUGUUUGCUGACGGUGUCCUCGAACUGGCCAUUGAACUCACUGUGAUACCGGUCGGCGACGCUAUUGCUUUGGGUACUCUCAGGACCCGUCUUGAAACACGGACCAAGGAGUCUAACAUGUGCGCGAGUCAUUGGGAUUAAGUAAAACCUAAAGGCGCAAUGAAAGUGAAGAUCGACGUUCACGCUUAGGCAUGAAAGAGUCGAUCGAGGGAGGAUGGGCGGCGUCACGAUGCCGCCUCGCACUCCCGGGGCGUUUCGUUCUCUCCGUGAGAUGAGACGCACCAAGAGCGUACACGUUGGGACCCGAAAGAUGGUGAACUAUGCCUGGUCAGGACGAAGUCAGGGGAAACCCUGAUGGAGGUCCGUAGCGAUUCUGACGUGCAAAUCGAUCGUCGGAACUGGGUAUAGGGGCGAAAGACUAAUCGA